CCUACGGGAGGCAGCAGUGGGGAAUAUUGCACAAUGGGGGAAACCCUGAUGCAGCGACGCCGCGUGAGUGAAGAAGUAUUUCGGUAUGUAAAGCUCUAUCAGCAGGGAAGAAAAUGACGGUACCUGAAGAAGAAGCCCCGGCUAACUACGUGCCAGCAGCCGCGGUAAUACGUAGGUGGCAAGCGUUAUCCGGAUUUACUGGGUGUAAAGGGAGUGUAGGCGGAGUGACAAGUCAGAUGUGAAAUACAAGGGCUCAACCCGUGAAUUGCCUUUGAAACUGUUUACCUUGAGUGUCGGAGAGGUAAGCGGAAUUCCUGGUGUAGCGGUGAAAUGCGUAGAUAUUAGGAAGAACACCAGUGGCGAAGGCGGCUUACUGGACUAUAACGGACGGUGAGGCGCGAAAGCGUGGGGAGCAAACAGGAUUAGAUACCCCAGUAGUC
rnacentral:rRNA from 1 species